UGUUGGACUUGAUUGAUUGUGACUUUUAAU
rnacentral:piRNA from 1 species